rnacentral:rRNA from 1 species
GAUGAACGCUGGCGGCGUGCCUAAUACAUGCAAGUCGAGCGAAUGGAUUAAGAGCUUGCUCUUAUGAAGUUAGCGGCGGACGGGUGAGUAACACGUGGGUAACCUGCCCAUAAGACUGGGAUAACUCCGGGAAACCGGGGCUAAUACCGGAUAACAUUUUGAACCGCAUGGUUCGAAAUUGAAAGGCGGCUUCGGCUGUCACUUAUGGAUGGACCCGCGUCGCAUUAGCUAGUUGGUGAGGUAACGGCUCACCAAGGCAACGAUGCGUAGCCGACCUGAGAGGGUGAGCGGCCACACUGGGACUGCGACACGGCCCAGACUCCGACGGGAGGCAGCAGUAGGGAAUCUUCCGCAAUGGACGAAAGUCUGACGGAGCAACGCCGCGUGAGUGAUGAAGGCUUUCGGGUCGUAAAACUCUGUUGUUAGGGAAGAACAAGUGCUAGUUGAAUAAGCUGACACCUUGACGGUACCUAACCAGAAAGCCACGGCUAACUACGUGCCAGCCGCCGCCGUAA